GAAACACGAGCAGUGUUAGCUGAGAUCAUACAUGUGAGCUUUCAUUAUGUAAAACGUGUGUGCAAGAUCUACUACCUCAAGAUGUGCGUACGUGAGUAUGUCUGACGAACAGGCUGCUGUUCUUGUUCUUGUUGACUGCUUGAUAAAUGGC